GAUGAACGCUGGCGGCGUGCUUAACACAUGCAAGUCGAACGGAAAGGCCCUGCUUUUGUGUCGUGCUCGUUUGGCGCACGGGUGAGUAACACGUGUGUAUCCUCCCCCUGACAUUCGGAUAUCUUCAGGGAACUCCGGCUAUAAUCCGAUAGGAGCUCCUGCUCCACGUGGGGGGUUGGAAAGUUUCGGUGGUUGGGGCAGGACUCGCGGCUUAUCCGCUUGUUAGUGUGGUAGUUGCUUACGAAGGCUUCGACGGAUAGCCGGCCUGAGAGGUGGACCGGGGUCAUGGGGACUGAGGUACGGAGCAGUCGGCUACGGUAGGCAGCAGUGGGGAGUAUGGCAGAACGGGGGGAAGCCUGAGGCGGCAACGCCGCGUGCGGGAUGACGGCCUACGAGGUGUAAACCGCUGUCGCCUGUGACGAAGAGAGAGUGACGGUAAUGGGUAAAAAAGCAACGGCUAACUACGUG
rnacentral:rRNA from 1 species